UACGUAGGGGGCUAGCGUUGUCCGGAAUCAUUGGGCGUAAAGCGCGUGUAGGCGGCUCGGUAAGUCCGCUGUGAAAGUCGGGGGCUCAACCUCGGAUGGCCGGUGGAUACUGUCGGGCUAGAGUACGGAAGAGGCGAGUGGAAUUCCUGGUGUAGCGGUGAAAUGCGCAGAUAUCAAGGAGGAACACCAAUUGCGAAGGCAGCUCGCUGGGACGUUAACUGACGCUGGAGACGCGAAAGCGUGGGGAGCAAACAGG
rnacentral:rRNA from 1 species